rnacentral:rRNA from 1 species
CCUACGGGAGGCAGCAGUGGGGAAUAUUGGACAAUGGGCGAAAGCCUGAUCCAGCAAUGCCGCGUGAGUGAUGAAGGCCUUCGGGUCGUAAAGCUCUUUUACCAGGGAUGAUAAUGACAGUACCUGGAGAAUAAGCUCCGGCUAACUCCGUGCCAGCAGCCGCGGUAAUACGGAGGGAGCUAGCGUUGUUCGGAAUUACUGGGCGUAAAGAGUACGUAGGCGGUUAUUCAAGUCAGAGGUGAAAGCCCGGGGCUCAACCCCGGAACUGCCUUUGAAACUAGAUAACUAGAGUCUUGGAGAGGUUAGUGGAAUUCCGAGUGUAGAGGUGAAAUUCGUAGAUAUUCGGAAGAACACCAGUGGCGAAGGCGACUAACUGGACAAGUACCGACGCUGAGGUACGAAAGCGUGGGGAGCAAACAGGAUUAGAUACCCUGGUAGUCCACGCCGUAAACGAUGAUAACUAGUUGUUCGGUCACUUGGUGACUGAGUGACGCAGCUAACGCAUUAAGUUAUCCGCCUGGGGAGUACGGUCGCAAGAUUAAAACUCAAAUGAAAUUGACGGCUGAAGAGUGCGAGACGACACGAGGAGAGG